GAUAUGCUUUCUGGAAAACAUCUAACAGACCAAAAGAACACGUAAACCGAAGAAGAAAAUAAUUAAAAGUUCAAAAAAAAACUAGGCCGGUUGUGGUUAAAAAAUCGGACAUAAAAAAUAUAGAUUUUUGAUUAAUUUGGGGAGAGAGAGGAUUGUAAUCAAGAACUAAGCUGUAUUAAACAAUCAAUUAGAGUAGUUAAAAAAAUUGUUAGGUCGUUGGUAAAAAGAAAAACAAUAGCCUAACGAAGUCUAUAGUCCUAAUGCAAUAGUUGCAGACAAUAGAGUUUAGAUAUGAGAAGAAGAAAAAAAGAUAAACAUUAUUUCUACCUGAAAUCUCACCAUUGCAACGUUGACACAC
rnacentral:lncRNA from 1 species